CUGGGCUGGGACUGACUCCUGCUGCAGGGAAGGACAGGACAGACAUCAAUCACACACACCAGGAGAAGCACUACUACCGUCUCCUUUAUGCUUCUUCCUCCUCUUCCUCCUCUUCUUCACCCCUGAGCUGCCGGUCAGCUCCUCUGUUGGCCCUCCUUCCACACAGGAACCCAUAACACUUCACAUACCACUUUCUCUCGUGAUCUGAGGACCCCCAGCUUGCCGAAUCGGACGUGGAAGGGGGAGCACUGAAAGGAUCCAUC